UACGUAGGGUGCGAGCGUUAAUCGGAAUACUGGGCGUAAAGCGUGCGCAGGCGGUUAUAUAAGACAGAUGUGAAAUCCCCGGGCUCAACCUGGGACCUGCAUUUGUGACUGUAUAGCUAGAGUACGGUAGAGGGGGGAUGGAAUUCCGCGUGUAGCAGUGAAAUGCGUAGAUAUGCGGAGGAACACCGAUGGCGAAGGCAAUCCCCUGGACCUGUACUGAC
rnacentral:rRNA from 1 species